UGUGUUCUUGUCUUCACCUCAGGGACCUGGACGCCCUGCCUUUUGAGGCAAGGUUGUGGAUGUCCCGGGCCUUAUGGUCCCUGGUUCGCAUGAUGUGGGGCAGCAUCCAUCUGAACGCUCAUCACUACCAAGGCCAAGGUUUUGGAAGGAAGUCCUUCUUCUCUCAUCUUAGUAUUAGACCAUCGGAUUUGGGACACGGGACUAUGGCCGCUGACUCUGCAUCCCUCACAAGCAUACACAGCUGCCUGCCCUUUUGCCUUGUGUCCAUCCUGGAGCAGCCUUCUGCAAGAUUCUAUGUUACCUGUCCUCGGUCCACUUGGAAUCUCUUGAGAGAGCCGAGUCCUGUGUGUUCCUAGGCCCUGCCACAGGGACCUGGACGCCCUGCCUGUUGAGGCAAGGUUGUGGAUGUCCCAGGCCUUAUGGUCCCUGCUUCGCAUGAGGUGGGGCAGCAUCCAUCUGAACGCUCAUCACUACCAAGGCCAAGGUUUUGGAAGGAAGUCCUUCUUCUCCCAUCUUAGUAUUAGACCAUUGGAUUCGGGACACAGGACUAAGGCCGCUGACUCUGCAUCCCUCACAAGCAUACACAGCUGCCUGCCCUUUUGCCUUGUGUCCAUCCUGGAGUGGCCUUCUGCAAGGUGGGAAGCCCGAGCUGGGUCUAGGGACCCAUUGAGUUGGGUGGUCGUCUCCCUUGGUGUAACACCUUCCA